rnacentral:rRNA from 1 species
GAUGAACGCUAGCGGCAGGCCUAAUACAUGCAAGUCGAACGGUGUCUUCGGACAUAGUGGCGCACGGGUGCGUAACACGUAUGCAACCUACCUUACAUUGGGGGAUAGCCUUUCGAAAGGGAGAUUAAUACCGCAUAAGACAGUAGCUGGGCAUCCAGCAGCUGUUAAAGAUUUAUCGAUGUAAGCUGGGCAUGCGUCCAAUUAGCUAGUUGGUGAGGUAACGGCUCACCAAGGCAAUGAUUGGUAGGGGAACUGAGAGGUCAAUCCCCCACACUGGGACUGUGAUACGGGCCAGACUCCUAGGGGAGGCAGCAGUAGGGAAUAUUGGGCAAUGGACGCAAGUCUGACCCAGCCAUGCCGCGUGCAGGAUGAAGGCGUUAUGCGUUGUAAACUGCUUUUAUACAGGAAGAAACGACUCUUGCGAGAGGCAUUGACGGUACUGUAUGAAUAAGCACCGGCUAACUCCGUGCCAGCCGCCGCAGUAACAC